GUGAGUGCUUGCCUAUAUAUAUGUUCACCAAGCAAGUGUGGGCCUGGUACCCAGGAAGGCAUUGGCUCCCCCGGGACUGAGAUGAGAGUCUCAGCAGUAAAGUUGUAAGCUGCCCUAUGAGUGCUGGAAACCCACCCCUGCUCAUCUGCAAAAACAGCUCCUCUCCAGCCCCCAUCUUGAACUUUUUUUAUCGAUGUUUUAUUUGUGCAAUUUAGCAAUAUGGGUGGGGGUUGUUUCGUUUUGUGGGUUUUGUUUUCUUUUGUUGUUAAAGAAGAAGAGAGACAAAGAUGAACUGGGACUGUUCUGGAGAAGGGGGAGGGGGACAUACAAGUCAACUACCCAAGAUCAAUUCUGUAAUUCUACAACCAGUUUAGUUCAAGCUUCAAUUGCCCCCAAACUGAAGUCCUCUGAAACAACCAGAAACCCACUUCCUACCUGGACUACACCACUAGCUUCCUGAGUUACGCUGGUUGUUCUUUGCAAAAUGCAAGUGCACAUGGGCUUCAACUUAAAAGGCCUGCGUUGAAGAACUGGGAGAGGACACCAGGGACAAUAGAAUCUGUCAGAACUAGGGGACAACACAAGUUCUGAUGGAGUCACUGACUGUAGAGGCCAAGGGACACGUUCUUCAAGGGAAGUUCAUAGGUCCCAUGAGCCCCUCAGCUCUCGGGUGUCUUGAAAGCUACCUGCUUCUGGAAUGUGGGAUGUGUGCGACUUCUCUCCUUGGUGUGGGCUGGCAAGAGUUGCAACCCAGUGGCUGGAAAGAAGACACAGACAUCAAAAGUAUCCAUGCUGAUUAUCAGGGCUUGAGUCUGGUUUUUGUU